GUGCUUGCACUCUGUGAAACAAGAUACAGGCUAGCGGCGGACGGGUGAGUAACACGUGGGUAACCUGCCCAAGAGAUCGGGAUAACACCUGGAAACAGAUGCUAAUACCGGAUAACAACAGAUGAUGCCUAUCAACUGUUUAAAAGAUGGUUCUGCUAUCACUCUUGGAUGGACCUGCGGUGCAUUAGCUAGUUGGUAGGGUAACGGCCUACCAAGGCGAUGAUGCAUAGCCGAGUUGAGAGACUGAUCGGCCACAUUGGGACUGAGACACGGCCCAAACUCCUACGGGAGGCAGCAGUAGGGAAUCUUCCACAAUGGACGCAAGUCUGAUGGAGCAACGCCGCGUGAGUGAAGAAGGGCUUCCGCUCGUAAAGCUCUGUUGUUGGUGAAGAAGGACAGGGGUAGUAACUGACCUUUGUUUGACGGUAAUCAAUUAGAAAGUCACGGCUGACUACGUGCCAGCAGCCGCGGUAAUACGUAGGUGGCAAGCGUUGUCCGGAUUUAUUGGGCGUAAAGCGAGUGCAGGCGGCUCGAUAAGUCUGAUGUGAAAGCCUUCGGCUCAACCGGAGAAUUGCAUCAGAAACUGUCGAGCUUGAGUACAGAAGAGGAGAGUGGAACUCCAUGUGUAGCGGUGAAAUGCGUAGAUAUAUGGAAGAACACCGGUGGCGAAGGCGGCUCUCUGGUCUGUUACUGACGCUGAGGCUCGAAAGCAUGGGUAGCGAACAGGAUU
rnacentral:rRNA from 1 species